CACAAAUGGAGACAGAGAGGACGGAGGCAGAGAUAGUGACUGCAGAGGGGAGACAAGAGCAUGUUACAGGAUUAUGUUAGAUUAGGGCAGUAAGCGGCGAUGUAGCAUUUAAUUAAAGAAAAUAGGUCAGACCACAUGAGAAAACAAGAACACUCAGAGAGUGCAGACGUCCAACUGGAUUAAAGACUUUGUCACCUGUGCUUUUCAAAACCGGCACCUGAUUUUUUUUACAUUCUUAUCCACUGGCUCCAGAAGACCUUCUCACUUUUAUCGUCAAGACUUCGCUGAUAUAUACACAUCUGAAUUUUAAAUUGCCACCAAAUCCAUAAUCUGAAACAGAUCUAGUCUGAUCCUGCAAAUACAAAAAAAUUCUGUUCAAAUCCAUUGAGUUUUGACAGGGAACUGGGUUGUGUUUUGUUUUUUUACAGUUUUGCUCAUUAAGAGAUGGGGAUUUCUUGGAAAUUUGAUGUCAUCGUGUGGGUACAUUCAGAUUCAGAUUGAUCCGCCAAUAAUUGUGGACAGGAAGUUGCCAACAGAGGGAAAACAUAACCUCCUUGGUGGAGGUUUUUAAUGUCGUCACACCUUACAGGAAACAAAUCGACAUAAUGCCAUUUGAGACUUUAUCUGCAGAGGAAGAAUGAAUUCAGUUUGGAUUAAAACAAGAGAGACAAAGACCACUGCCGAACAACCAACAUCAUCCAUCCAUCCAUCCAUCCUUCAUCUACACGGAAUUCAUCCUACAGAAAUCCAUGGCCUGGCUCCAGACGACAUCAGAGAACUUUGGACCUCGGUCUCUUCAGCCCG